CUACCACCAGUACCUAACGAUUUGAGAUAAGGAAGAUAAUGGCAAACAUUGUUAACGUAAAUAAGGGUUGUGUGCGCUCUGUACGUCAUAUUGAUGACUGGCGAACAAUUUGGACUUCCAAUCUCUUAUUUUUAUAUAAUAGUGUAGCAUUCUAAAAUGACGUAAUAUUGUUAAAAACAAAAUUACAUCAAUAAUUUUGUUUUCACAAUCAUCACGAGAUUCAAGAAUGUUCAGUUUUAGUUCCUCAUAAUCAUUACGAUUUUUAAACUACUUUCAUUUAUUCUGGUUAAUGUUAUGUGCACCUUAAAUUCCAUAUAUCAAAGCUCGAUACUUUUAUAUAACGUUAUGGAGAUGUUUAUGAUGUGGUUACACUUUAAUUAAAUAAAUAAACUAAUGAUAGUGUUUGUAUAAAUGAUCAAAGCAUUAUUUACUGAGACUGAACAAUGCUAGUGGGCGUUAUCGACGAUCGCAGAUAUUCUCGAGUAUCGAUUACUUUUUGGGUUACCACAUGAAGUCAUUGAAAUGCGUUCGCUGCACUUGUGUUGACAUUUUUGUUUCAUAAUCGCCCAACUGAUCAACUGGGUACGACCUGCCGGCGUGUAAUCCAGCUAAUAUAGUCAAUGUGAAAGUUAAAGACGUUUGAAUGUUCGAAGUUAACGCAUAAAACGCUAAAGAAAUUUGGCAUACAAAUAAACAAGUCAUAGAUUAUCCUACAGGCUAUUAUAUCGAAAUGGCUGGAUACUGCACUAUACUUAUGAAAACAGUUCACAGAAAUAAAGAUUUUAAAGGCGUCAAAUCGAAUGCAGAAACUGUUUAGCCAAUGGUCGAAGGAAGCCGUUGGAAGUGAGUAACACAGGAUGUUGGUUGACUUUGGAAGAGGUCUUUGUUCAAAACCUUGGGGAACAAAUAGCCCUUGGUAGAAAUUUUAGACUACGGAAGCUGAUGCCAUACAGCCUGCUUUCAUUCAAAACAUUUCCGAUGGAAGAAAAAUACUUCUAAAAGCAUGUUAUAUCUCAAAAUAAACAUUUCUAUUUUUUUUUAUUUAUGAGAUGUAGAGAUAACGAAAUAAAACAAAACAUCGUGGGAACGUAUGAAAAAAGAGAAAAUAAGAUUCUAUUCAAAGGUAUAAAAAGAGCAUCGCCUAUUCCAAAACGAAAAAUCCAAUUCGAACAAGUUGCACGAUCGUAUUGAAUGAAAUUAACGGAAUAUGUACAUCUCGGCAGAUCUGGGCUUAUUCCGUGGACCAUUUUGUAUUCAGUGCACUUUCUAACAUGAUGCAUAUACUUGCAUAAGUAUUAUGCGGCGACCACAACAGUAAUGAGGGCUACACUCACCGGGCAC